AAGUCGUAACAAGGUUUCCGUAGGUGAACCUGCGGAAGGAUCAUUAACACGUAUCCAACGUUAAAAACCGUGCAUUUUAACCCUGCUCUCCUCACCUCAACAAGCAAUCUCUGGUAAAUCACAACGAACAGUUUGAUUCAGAGACUUCUUCAGGAUGGAGCGGUAGAGCAAAUAGACUUGGUUUCCGAAAGGAUAACUGAUACUUACUCAGGUCGUUGACCCUCACGGUCAACGGACAGGUCUCUAAACAGUUGUUCGUUUUGUGGGCCUGUAGUUUGCAAGCCGGACUUUCACAUACAGGUUUAUGGGGAGCCGAAGCCCUAACAAUGGAUAUCUUGGUUCUCA
rnacentral:misc_RNA from 1 species